GAGAGUAUAGCUCAGUGGUAGAGUGUGUGCUUUGCAUGCACAAGGUCCUGGGUUCAAUCCCCAGUGCCUCCG
rnacentral:tRNA from 1 species